AGAUCGAACUGUAGAGUUUGAUCCUGGCUCAGAUUGAACGCUGGCGGCAUGCCUUACACAUGCAAGUCGAACGGUAACAGGUCUUCGGACGCU
rnacentral:rRNA from 1 species